rnacentral:lncRNA from 1 species
UUUCAAGCUCAAGUUAUUAGGGUAUUAGUAGUUAUGGCCGUAUGUUGUACUUUGUCUUUUUCAAAUUAUGCUAAUUUGAAUUUUUGAGUAAUGAGUUGUGACUAUUUUGCAUUUAUUUUGUUUAGUGAGGACUAUUGCUAUUGACUAUCGGACUCAAGUGGGUGUACCGUGCUAAUAGCGAUGCCUAGGCCCAAGUACUCUCAAAUCCAUAUCUCCGCGCCUUUGAAUGUUGUGGUACGUAACUGUGGCUUUAAAUUUUGUAUAUUUAUCUUGGGCCUUAAUUAACCUGAACUUGAAGUUCCCCGGGUUCAAUUUCAAGCUCAAGUUAAUUAGGUAUUAUUAGACAAGGCCUUAUGUUUUAAAUACGCUUUGGCCCUUUGUCAAAAUUAGCUGAUUUGAGUUUUUUGUGUAAUAUGUAGUGACUGUUUUUGCAUUUGGUCUGUUUUGCGAGGACUUUGCUAUUGACUAUACCCGUAUUCAACUUCAAGUCGGUAUUUAGGUACUUGUUUUUGUUGUUAUUAUUUUAUGUUGUUUUUUUAUUUAUAGCAUGAUUUUAAUGUUUGAGUACGAGUGAGUGACUGCCUUUGCUUUUUUGUUUUGUCGAGGACUAAUACUGUUGACUAUCGGGUUUAAAUUUCAUCAGCUCAAGUGUAUUAGGGUAAUUAUUAGUUAUUUCCGUAUGCUUUACUUUGUCUUUUUCAAAUAUGCUAAUUUGAAUUUUUGAGUAAUGAUUUGGCUGACUAUUUUCAUUGAUUUUUUGUUUAGUGAGGACUAUUGCUAUUGACUAUCCGGACUCAAGUUGGUGUUACCGUGGUAAAGCGAUGCCUGGCCCAAUACUCUCAACCAUAUCCCACCCUUUGAAUGUUGUGGUCGUAACUGAUGGCUUAAAUUUGUUGUCAUUUAUUCUUGGGCCUUAAUUAACCCUAACGUGAAUUUCCCCGGUUCAAUUUCAAGCGUCAUGUUAAUUAGGAAUUAUUAGACAAGGCCCUUUAUUUAAACUUUGUCCUUUUUACAAGUUAUCUGAUUUGAGUUUUGUUGUGUAAUAUGUAUGACUGUUUUUGCUUUGUUUUCGUUUUCGAGGAACUAUUCUCUUGACUACCGGAUUCAACUUCAGCUCGAGUUAUUUUAGGUACUUUUUGUUAGUACUUUAUGUUGUUUUUUUAUCUACAAGCAUGAUUUUAAAAUGUUUUGAGUAACGAGUAGUGACAGCUUUUUGCAUUUUGUUUUGUUUUGGCGAGGACUAAUACUGUUGACUAUCGGUUGUUAAUUUCAAGCUCGAAGUUAUUAGGGUAUUAUUAGUUAUGGCCGUUAUGUUGACUUGUCUUUUUCAAAUAUGCUAAUUGAUUUUUGAGUAAUGAGUUUGACAUUUUGCAUUAUUUUUGUUUAGUGAGGACUAUUGCUAUGGACUAUCGGGGACUGGAAUCAAGUGGGUGUACGUACUAAAUAGCGAUGCCUAGGCCCAAGUUCUCAAAUCCAUAUCUCCGCGCCUUUGAAUGUUUGUGGUACGUAACUGUUGACUUUAAAUUUUGUAAUUACUUGGGCCGUAAGUUACACCUGAACUGGAAGUCCCGGGUUCAAUUUCAAGCUCAAGUUAAUAGUAUUAUUAGACAGGACUUUAUGUUGUACUUGUAUUUUAAAAUUAUGACUGAUUUGAGUUUUUGUCUGUAGUAAGAUGUAGUGAACGUUUUUGCAUUGUCGUUUGCGAGGACUAUGCCCUAUUGACUACCGGAUUCAACUUAAAGUGCGAGUUAUUUAGGUUAACUUUUUGUUAGUACUUUAUGUGUGUUUUUAUUUAGAGACAUGAUUUAUGUUUGAGUAACGAGUAGUGACUGCUUGCAUUUUUUUGUUUUGCGUGAGGACUAAUUCUGUUGAAUAGUCGGGGUUUAAUUCAAGUCAAGUUAUUAGGGAUUAGUAGUUAUGGCCGCAUGUGUACUUGUCUUUUUCAAAUUAUGCCUAAUUGAAUUUUUGAGAGUAAUAGUGUGACUGUAUUUUGCCUUAUUUUGUUUAGUGAGGACUAAUGCUAUUGACUAUCGGAUCAAGUGGGUUUGUACCGUGCUAAUAGCGAUGCCUAAGGCCCAAAGUACUCUCAAAUCCAUAUACUCCGCGCCUUUGAAUGUUGUGGGGAGUACGUAAUGUGCUUUAAAUUUUGUUAUAUUAUCUUUGGCCUUAAUAACCUUGAACUGGAAGUUCCCGGGUUAAUUCAAGCUCAAGUUAUUAGGUAUAUUAGACAGGCCUUAUGUUGUGUACUUGUCUUUUUAAAAUUAUGCUGAUUUGAGUUUUUGUGUAAUAUGUAGUGACUGUUUUGCAUUUGUUCUGUUUUGCGAGGACUAUUGCUAUUGACUACCGGAUUCAACUUCAAGCUCGAGUUAUUUAGGUACUUUUUGUUAGUACUUUAUGUUGUUUUUUAUUUAUAGCAUGAUUUUAAUGUUUGAGUAACGAGUAGUGACUGCUUUGCAUUUUUUUUGUUUUGCGAGGACUAAUACUGUUGACUAUCGGGUUUAAUUUCAAGCUCAAGUUAUUAGGGUAUUAGUAGUUAUGGCCGUAUGCUGUACUUUGUCUUUUCCAAUAGCUAUUUGAAUUUUUGAGUAAUGAGUUGUGACUAUUUUGCAUUAUUUUGUUUUAGUGAGGACUAUUGCCUAUUGAUAUCGACUCAAGUGGGUGUACCGUGGUAAUAGCGCUGCCUAGGACCAAGUACUCUCAAACCAUAUCUCCACGCCUUAAUGUUGUGGUACUUAACUGUGGCUUUAAAUUUUGCUAUAUUUAUCUUGGGCCUUAAUUAACCUGAAACUUGAAGUCCACGGGUUCAAUUCAAGCUCAUUUAAUUAGGUAUAGUGACACGGGCCUUAUUAUUAAAAUUUGUCUUUAAAAUUAUGCUGAUUUGAGAUUUGGUUAAUAUGUAGUGACUGUUUUGCAUUUGUUCUGUUUUGCGAGGACUAUUGCUAUUGACUACCGGAUUCAACUUCAAGCUCGAGCUAUUUAGGUACUUUUUGUUAGUACUUUAUGUUGUUUUUUAUUUAUAGCAUGAUUUUAAUGUUUGAGUAACGUGUAGUGACUGCUUUGCAUUUUUUGUUUUGUUUUGCGAGGACUAAUACUGUUGACUAUCGGGUUUAAUUUCAAGCUCAAGUUAUUAGGGUAUUAGUAGUUAUGGCCGUAUGUGUACUUUGUCUUUUUCAAAUUACAGCUAUGUUGAAUUUGUGAGUACUGAGUUGCUGACUAUUUGCAUUGAUUUUGUUAUUUGAGGACUAUUGCUAUGACUAUCGGACCUCAAGUGGGUGUGUACCGUGCUAAUAGCGAUGCCUAGGCCAAAGUACUUCUCAAACCCAUAUCUCAAAGGCAUUUGAAUGUUGUUUUUACGAAACUGUGGCUUAAUUUUGUAUAUUUAUCUUGGGCCUUAAUUAACCUGAACUUGAAGUUUCCCGGGUUCAAUUUCAAGCUCAAGUUAAUUAGGAAUUAUUAGACAAGGCCUUAUGUUAAACUUUGUCUUUUUAAAAUUAUGCUGAUUUGAGUUUUUGUGUAAGAUGUAGUGACUGUUUUGCAUUUGUUCUGUUUUACGAGGACUAUUGCUAUUGA